rnacentral:rRNA from 1 species
GACAGAGGGUGCAAACGUUGUUCGGAAUUAUUGGGCGUAAAGCGCGUGUAGGCGGCUUGUUAAGUUGGUCGUGAAAGCCCAUGGCUCAACCAUGGAAGUGCAACCAAAACUGGCAAGCUUGAGUGCUGAAGAGGAUGGCGGAAUUCCCAGUGUAGAGGUGAAAUUCGUAGAGAUGUGGAGGAACACCAGUGGCGAAGGCGACUCUUUGGCCUGUAACUGACGCUGAGGCGCGAAAGCGUGGGGAGCAAACAGG